rnacentral:ncRNA from 1 species
AGCAACUCAAAGGGGUGCUGGCGUAGGACACGAGUCCACGCUGUGCUGAGAUUAUACCCGAAGACCUGAUCCAGAUAAUGCUGGCGUAGGCAGAGAGUGGAGGCGAUAU